rnacentral:hammerhead_ribozyme from 1 species
AUUCAGCUGAUGAAUCUCAAAUAAGACGAAACACACGUCAUGGAU